AUUGAACGCUGGCGGCAUGCCUUACACAUGCAAGUCGAACGGCAGCACGGGUGCUUGCACCUGGUGGCGAGUGGCGAACGGGUGAGUAAUGCAUCGGAACGUGCCCAGAAGUGGGGGAUAACGAGGCGAAAGUUUCGCUAAUACCGCAUAUAUUCUGAGGAAGAAAGCAGGGGAUCGCAAGACCUUGCGCCUUUGGAGCGGCCGAUGUUGGAUUAGCGAGUUGGUGGGGUAAAGGCCUACCAAGGCUACGAUCCAUAGCGGGUCUGAGAGGAUGAUCCGCCACACUGGGACUGAGACACGGCCCAGACUCCUACGGGAGGCAGCAGUGGGGAAUUUUGGACAAUGGGGGCAACCCUGAUCCAGCCAUGCCGCGUGAGUGAAGAAGGCCCUCGGGUUGUAAAGCUCUUUCGGUCGGGAAGAAAACGUGCGCUCUAACAUAGCGUAUGGGUGACGGUACCGACAUAAGAAGCACCGGCUAACUACGUGCCAGCAGCCGCCGUAA
rnacentral:rRNA from 1 species